rnacentral:rRNA from 1 species
AUGCAAGUGCAGGCGGCCGCUACCAUACGGCUUUGUCUUGCGGAUCAGGUCAUGUAUCAUGUCAUGGACGAAGAUACUCGUAAGGGAAUUUGGGACAAGUUGGCAAAUCGUUAUAUGUCCAAGUUAGCGACCAAUAUGAUGUAUUUGAAGCAAAAGUUCUAUGGGCUGAAGAUGCAGAAGGGGUCGGAUCUUGUGGAGCAUGUGAAUGCCUUUAAUCAAUUGGUCACAGAUCUAGCGCGUCUAGAUGUGAGGAUCGCGGGCGAGGACAAGGUACUACUUCUUCUUGUUUCGUUGCCACCGCCCUAUGAGCAUUUGGUCAUUACAUUGACACAUGGAAAGACAACCAUCAAUAAUGAGGAAGUCACUGCAGCGUUGCUUGGACAUGAGUUGAUGAAGCAAAAGAAUGCUGCAGAAAGGGAGAGUACUCAAGGUUUGGGGUUGGCAGUUAAAGGUUAUCAGCUCAGGAAGGGACAAGAGGCGGAGAAGAAAAAGAAGAAAAAGGUGCAGUGCUACAGGUGCAAGGAUUGGGGACAUAUAAAGAGGGAAUUCCCAGAACUGAAGGGUGGGGCAAAUGCUAAUGCGGCUACUCAUGGUGAUGGCUCGGAUAGUGAUAGUGUUGUUCUCGUAGUAUCAAACAGAUAG